rnacentral:lncRNA from 1 species
CAAAAAGAGAAGGAGAGAAUAGUGCAAGUGAUAAUGGAUAUUCAAACGUAACGAAACUGCGAUUCAUUGGAAAUCACAAACAUAGAUUUCAAGUAUUUAUACAGUUGUAAAAACUACAUGAAAAAAAAAAAUAUUUAUGGAUUCUGAUUGCAAUAGUGAAAGCAAGCGCUGUAGAAUAUAUUGCAAAAACUUUCUACCUAAAUGAUUGUCAAAUGUUGUCAACUACUUGCCGAGUUUUGUAAAUCGAUAUUAAAUUUUUUACACUAGACGAGACAUGUAGUGAACAAUUGACGAUUUAUUAUUUACCGGAAGAGCGUCGUGUAAGGAACACGACAUAGCGUUUCCGAAAAAUAGUGAAAAUCU